AUCCAGCGACUUCACAAUGUCUGGCAUGCAACAAAAAAUAACCAGGAAUGCAAGGAACCAAGAAAUUAUGAUCUAUAAUGAAAAGAAAAAGCAAUAGAAACAGAA